UACGUAGGCAGCAAGCGUUGUUCGGAGUUACUGGGCGUAAAGGGUGUGUAGGCGGUUGUUUAAGUUUGGUGUGAAAUCUCCCGGCUCAACUGGGAGGGUGCGCCGAAUACUGAAUGACUCGAGUGCGGGAGAGGAAAGUGGAAUUCCUGGUGUAGCGGUGAAAUGCGUAGAUAUCAGGAGGAACACCGGUGGUGUAGACGGCUUUCUGGACCGUAACUGACGCUGAGACACGAAAGCGUGGGUAGCAAACAGG
rnacentral:rRNA from 1 species